GUGAGGAAUAUUGGUCAAUGGACGCGAGUCUGAACCAGCCAAGUAGCGUGAAGGAUGACUGCCCUAUGGGUUGUAAACUUCUUUUAUAUGGGAAUAAAGUUGUCCACGUGUGGAUUUUUGUAUGUACCAUAUGAAUAAGGAUCGGCUAACUCCGUGCCAGCAGCCGCGGUAAUACGGAGGAUCCGAGCGUUAUCCGGAUUUAUUGGGUUUAAAGGGAGCGUAGGCGGAUUGUUAAGUCAGUUGUGAAAGUUUGCGGCUCAACCGUAAAAUUGCAGUUGAUACUGGCAGUCUUGAGUGCAGUAGAGGUGGGCGGAAUUCGUGGUGUAGCGGUGAAAUGCUUAGAUAUCACGAAGAACUCCGAUUGCGAAGGCAGCUCACUGGAGUGUAACUGACGCUGAUGCUCGAAAGUGUGGGUAUCAAACAGGA
rnacentral:rRNA from 1 species